AGGUACCUGAGAGGGGAGAGGUACCUGAGAGGGGAGAGGUACCUGAGAGGGGAGAGGUACCUGAGAGGGGAGAGGUACCUGAGAGGGGAGAGGUACCUGAGAGGGGAGAGGUACCUGAGAGGGGAGAGGUACCUGAGAGGGGAGAGGUACCCGAGUACCUGAGAGGGGAGAGGUACCCGAGUACCUGAGAGGGGAGAGGUACCUGAGAGGGGAGAGGUACCUGAGAGGGGAGAGGUACCUGAGACGGGAGAGGUACCUGAGACGGGAGAGGUACCUGAGACGGGAGAGGUACCUGAGACGGGAGAGGUACCUGAGACGGGAGAGGUACCUGAGACGGGAGAGGUACCUGAGACGGGAGAGGUACCUGAGACGGGAGAGGUACCUGAGACGGGAGAGGUACCUGAGACGGGAGAGGUACCUGAGACGGGAGAGGUACCUGAGACGGGAGAGGUACCUGAGAGGGGAGAGGUACCUGAGAGGGGAGAGGUACCUGAGACGGGAGAGGUACCUGAGAGGGGAGAGGUACCUGAGAGGGGAGAGGUACCUGAGACGGGAGAGGUACCUGAGACGGGAGAGGUACCUGAGACGGGAGAGGUACCUGAGACGGGAGAGGUACCUGAGAGGGGAGAGGUACCUGAGAGGGGAGAGGUACCUGAGACGGGAGAGGUACC